rnacentral:rRNA from 1 species
CCUACGGGAGGCAGCAGUGAGGAAUAUUGGUCAAUGGGCGCGAGCCUGAACCAGCCAAGUAGCGUGAAGGAUGAAUGCCCUAUGGUUUGUAAACCUCUUUUAUAAGGGAAUAAAGUGCGGCACGUGUGCCGUUUUGUAUGUACCUUAUGAAUAAGGAUCGGCUAACUCCGUGCCAGCAGCCGCGGUAAUACGGAGGAUCCGAGCGUUAUCCGGAUUUAUUGGGUUUAAAGGGAGCGUAGGUGGGUUGUUAAGUCAGUUGUGAAAGUUUGGGGCUCAACCGUAAAAUUGCAAUUGAUACUGGCAGUCUUGAGUAUAUUUGAGGCAGGCGGAAUGCGUGGUGUAGCGGUGAAAUGCUUAGAUAGCACGAAGAACCCCGAUUGCGAAGGCAGCUUACUAAGC